GAGCUUGAUUCAGCAGCACAUGCUCCCAAACUGGAAAGAUACAGCUUAGGUUAGCAUGGCCCCUGUGCAAGGAUGGUAUGAAAAUUUGUGAAGCAUUCCAUAUUUUU
ensembl:snRNA U6 U6 spliceosomal RNA